rnacentral:tRNA from 1 species
GCGGUGGUAGCGUAGUGGUUAAGGAGCUUGGCUAGCCUAAAAAGUUGUGGGUUCAAUUCCCAGCUUCCACC